GGAGGUGGUAGCUCAGUGGUAGAGUGCCUGCUUUGUAUAUUUGAUGUCCUGUGUUCAAUCCCCAGAUUCUCUCCA